GAUGAAGAACGUAGUGAAAUGCGAUAAUUAAUGUGAAUUGCAGAAUUCAGUGAUUCAUCGAGUCUUUGAACGCACAUUGCGCCCCCUGGUAUUCCGGGGGGCAUGCCUGUCCGAGCGUCAUUGCUGCCCUCAAGCACGGCUUGUGUGUUGGGCUUCCGUCCCUGGCAACGGGGACGGGCCCAAAAGGCAGUGGCGGCACCAUGUCUGGUCCUCGAGCGUAUGGGGCUUUGUCACCCGCUCCCGUAGGUCCAGCUGGCAGCUAGCCUCGCAACCAAUCUUUUUAACCAGGUUGACCUCGGAUCAGGUAGGGAUACCCGCUGAACUUAAGCAUAUCAAUAAGCGGAGGA
rnacentral:misc_RNA from 1 species